GGCCAGCAGCCGCGGUAAUACCGGCAGCCCAAGUGAUGUCCCAUAUUAUUGGGCCUAAAGCGUCCGUAGCUGGCUGCGCAAGUCCGUCGGGAAAUCCACCUGCCCAACAGGUGGGCGUCCGGUAGAAACUAGCCGGCUUGGAACCGGAAGGCUCAGAGAGUACGUCCGGGGUAGGAGUGAAAUCCCGUAAUCCCGGACGGACUACCGAUGGCGAAAGCACUCUGAGAAGACGGCUUCGACAGUGAGGGACGAAAGCUCGGGUCUCAAACCGGAUUAGAAACCCCUGUAGUCC
rnacentral:rRNA from 1 species